GACGAACGCUGGCGGCGUGCUUAACACAUGCAAGUCGAACGGAAAGGCCCUGCUUUUGUGGGGUGCUCGAGUGGCGAACGGGUGAGUAACACGUGAGUAACCUGCCCUUGACUUUGGGAUAACUUCAGGAAACUGGGGCUAAUACCGGAUAGGAGCUCCUGCUGCAUGGUGGGGGUUGGAAAGUUUCGGCGGUUGGGGAUGGACUCGCGGCUUAUCAGCUUGUUGGUGGGGUAGUGGCUUACCAAGGCUUUGACGGGUAGCCGGCCUGCGAGGGUGACCGGCCACAUUGGGACUGAGAUACGGCCCAGACUCCUACGGGAGGCAGCAGUGGGGAAUAUUGCACGAUGGGCGGAAGCCUGAUGCAGCAACGCCGCGUGCGGGAUGACGGCCUUCGGGUUGUAAACCGCUUUCGCCUGUGACGAAGCGUGAGUGACGGUAAUGGGUAAAGAAGCACCGGCUAACUACGUG
rnacentral:rRNA from 1 species